rnacentral:misc_RNA from 1 species
UGAUGAAUAUGUACCCAUGAUUGACAAGACUGUAGAUGGUGGAUGCAAGAAACAAGUGCUCUCUCAAGAGCCACAUACGUCCAGAGGAACACUACCUCCACCAAGUGUAGAAAAAUCUCCAGAAGGAUUAUUUGCUUGUAUUUGGGCUCUGCUCAUGGCGAUCUUCAUAGCAUUCCUCUCUGUCAUCCAUUCAUUUCCAAUUUGGUUGACUAAGAAAAACCCUGAGCCUAAUUCUGUCUGUGAUGCUUCUGAUCCAACUCUUGAACCAAUGCUCAAGGAGGAGUCCCGCCC